rnacentral:rRNA from 1 species
ACGUAGGGUGCGAGCGUUAAUCGGAAUUACUGGGCGUAAAGCGUGCGUAGGCGGUUCGCUAAGUCCUGUGUGAAAGCCCCGGGCUCAACUUGGGAACGGCAUGGGAAACUGACGAGCUGGAGUGUGGCAGAGGGGGGUGGAAUUCCGCGUGUAGCAGUGAAAUGCGUAGAGAUGCGGAGGAACACCGAUGGCGAAGGCAGCCCCCUGGGCCAACACUGACGCUGAGGGCACGAAAGCGUGGGGAGCAAACAGGAUUAGAAACCCCCGUAGUCC